rnacentral:tRNA from 1 species
GGCGCGAUGUCAGAGUGGUUAUGUAGUGGACUGCAAAUCUUCUUACCCGGGUUCGAUUCCCGGUCGUGCCU